rnacentral:misc_RNA from 1 species
GCAAAUAUCUUUCUCUCACCUUUCAUUUUGGUGCUCGUGUGUGUUUCUUGUUUUUUCGUUCUCUACUUUUGCAUAUCAUAUCAGAUCAAGUCUUUUAAAGAAUAAGAACCUGUAUCAUGUAAACUCACUACUAUAAAUCUAUUACUUUGCAAAUGUUUUAUGGUUGAAUGGUAAACACUCAACAAUGAGUUCUGAAAGUACUGUAGAAGGGGACUGGCUUGCAUGGGCUGCAAGAAAUUCACCUGCGUGUUCUAUAACCUUUCAAGUUCAGCCGAAGGGCUGUUGCCAGAGAUGAUGUUUCACUAAAAAUUACACAUUGUGGAAUCU